rnacentral:rRNA from 1 species
UACGGGGGGAGCAAGCGUUGUUCGGAUUUACUGGGCGUAAAGGGCGCGUAGGCGGCGCAACAAGUCACUUGUGAAAUCUCCGGGCUUAACCCGGAGCGGCCAAGUGAUACUGUCGUGCUAGAGUGCGGAAGGGGCUACUGGAAUUCUCGGUGUAGCGGUGAAAUUCGUAGAUAUUGGGAAGAACACCGAUGGCGAAGGCAGCCAUCUGGACCGACACUGACGCUGAGGCGCGAAAGCGUGGGGAGCAAACAGG